CAUUACCAUGGAAACCCCCAAAAAUAAAGACUUUCCCAGCCUUGUGAGAGUACACCUGCAAGAGCAAGAACUGCCUAUCAGAAGUGACUUCUUCAUUAUGGGUGUCACCUAAGGACAUUUUGUGUGGACUGGAGCUUCCUGUUGUACAAAUGAAAAAAUUUCCCAAAGAAGUCUGGUGUUUGUAAGAAGAAAUCUUUCCAAAAGUGCACAGGAGUGAUUUUCCUUGGACAUCAGAGAUUCAUGGAAACUCCAGAUCACUUCAGUAAAAUGCAGUCUCACAAGGAAGAACCUGCAACAUCUCAGAGAUCACAGUCUUAAAAAGGAUUCAAACCCAGUGAGCAACUGCAUCUUCCAUAAGUGAAACCCAUCAAUCUUCUAAAAUCAUCUCAUGGGAGGAGAUGUCCACAGUCAGUAAAUGACUGUAACAGCAACCCAGGUUUUAGAAGUCUGUUUUACUCAAACUUCUUUCUGAUCACCACUGUACAUUUCCAAAAGUGUAUUUAUCAUCCAGGGAAAGUCUUCUACAGACCACCAUUAUUUUCAAAGGAAAAGGGAAAAAUACAGCAAGGGCUUCAAAGAUGUGAGUGAAUUAUUUCAUUCACAAGUGCAGCAUGUGCUCUCCCUUCUGUAAUAACACAGUACAGAAAACAAGAGGUAAUUAAUUCAAUUCCUUUGCCAAAUGAGUGGGAUCUUAUAAAGAAUUGGCACAUAAUUCUGAUUUGAGCUUUCUUGUUUUAAACAAAACCAAACCUAAUACAGAACAGUAUAAUGUACUACCACGGUGCUUCACCAUAUUUUUCUUUUUCCCCAAAACAAGUGCCUGCAAAGUGCUGGGCCUGUAAUCAAAGGACACUCAGUGUCCAAACCAGCACUGUUGAUGCAGCCAGACAUUUCUGUGUGCUACAGUACAGUCAGGAAAGUGAACCAAGUAAGAACAUUUGGUCUUUUGUUGUCUUACAUACCAAGACAGAAAAGCAUGGCUCUUCCUCUGUUCUAUCCAAUGAACAGAUGUGGGUUUAAUCACAUACAAAAGAAAAUGCUCACAAGUUUCAGACUGUGACUUUGAUAUUUAGGAGUAAAAUUACUUUCUCAAAUAAAGUAAUUUUCAUCUAAUUAUCUUGAAACUGUCUAUAAAAGGAAGAUAGGUAAGGAAUUUGAUAAAUACACCACAUAGGGUUUCCUUUGGAGUUAUUUUCUUCAGCUGGAGAGAAACCAAAGGUAAUUUUCAUAAACAAAAUCUCAUGGCAAGAAAAGAAGCCUCAGGGUCCAAUAUAGGAAAGUUAUAGGAGAUUCUUCAAUAAAUACAUAUAAGAGAGCAGUGGAAAUUCAGAUGCCUCCUCUGUCUUGCUGAACUCAAAGCUGCAGAUCAACUCAAUACACAAGGUUAGCAAACAGCAGAGUUAGGUAAAACAGAAGCAGAAAAUGCCAUACAAAAGCCCAAAAGGACACCUUAAGGGCUAUAACUUUAAGCUGACCAUCAACCUACUACCCAGCUGCUCUGCCUCCCCCCCAACUCAAAUCACCUCAUAAAUACCUAAGGCAGAUUACCCUUCCUUCUGAGGAGCAUUACAGCUCUGACAAACCCUGAAAUGCAGAUCCAGGGAACACAGAUCUGGGGCAGCUCUUCAAGACACAUUUUGAGAGGAUGUGCAUGGCAUGGAGGUGGUUGGAAUUUGCACCCAGAGAGAACAGAGCUGCCCUUCAGAAUUGUCUGGUUUGCAUGUGGAAGGAGGAGGCCUGAGCAAUGCAGGUGCCAGAAGAGAGCUGGAGCUGAAGGAUGCUCCCCAGAGCUGUGCCUGCAGCAUCCCUGCACGUCGCACACGAAGCCUGCCCCACGCAGGAGCUGUGCAGAGGAAGGGUGGAGGGUUCCUCUCCUCCUGUCCGCACUGAGACAGCACAUCCUGCACGCCUCGCUCCUGCCCCUUCUCCUUCAGCAGGAAAAGGAGGAACCUGCCUUGGGAGGUGCCUCAGCUCCCAGGGAGACAC